AGUUGAACUAAUAAGGACAACAGAAAACCAAAUUUACCUCAGGUAAAUUCGUGUGGACAAAACGUGGCGGUAAACAUCCUCUCCUGCUCGUCAACGGGUACACUUACAGUUAUCAGAAGCGAAACGUUGAUGGAAGGGUGUCCUGGUACUGCUCUCGGAGACUCAAGGGCUGCAGGGCGUCUGCGACCAGCUUAUCAGGCCGUGUCCUGACCUGUAAGCCUCACGAUCACGCACCGCCGCAUUUAGUCAAUUAUAUUGAAAAAACUGUCGAUACCAACCAUCUGUUUGAGGGCUUCGAGUAUCUUAUGUAAUUAUUUGUGAUGUCUGUUUUUUGGUCGAAAAUGGACAUUGGCAAGUUAUUAAACAAUUUGAUAUCAUUUGGAUUGAUUUUAAAUUUAGUAAUUUUAUUUUUAUUUUCUUGAACUCUUAAUCAUGUUCAUAAAAUAUAUAUUUUCAUGAUGAAUUAUUGGAUUUAAUCUUUGUUAAUGUCUACUGUGACAAUAGUACAAGUAUAUACAAAUAUAACCCUCACGGCAACGCCUCACUUUCUUUUAAAUAUACCGCUAUAAAGAAUUAAUUGUAUUUAUGAAAACCUGAACAUCAUUUGGAAUAUUUGUACAUUUAUUGUUUUGUGUUUUAACAAGACUUGUUGGCGCGGAUCUUUAUUGAAAUUGUUAACGGAACAACAAACGAUUAGAAGUUUGCAAAAAGUAGACUUUUUAUACACGGGUAACACUGAAAAUGUUUAGGAAAUGAAAAACGGCUUAAUGUAGAAAGUUGCCGAAAGCUUUAUUGAUUUUCGAAGUAAUCUCUGAGAAAAGCAGUGAGCCCAUCCUUUGUUAGGGGUUUCUUCUUUGGCAUUUUCGUACGCUUUCACCGCAUCUUCAGGGCUGGUAAAGCGAAUACCUCAAAUUUUAUCUUUAGUUCUUGGGAAUAAAUAAAAGUCGCAGGGUGCCAGUUCAGAACUGUAUGGCGGAUAACUCAUUAUCUCGACACCUGCCAUAGUCAAGUAUUCAACAGUCCGUUUUGUGGAGUGCGUUGAAGCAUUGUCGUGGUGAAGGAGGAUCCUGCUUCGAGGGCGCUGCUGUCGAAUUUUUUCAAGACAACAGGCAAACAGCGAUUGACAUACCAGACUGCAGUAACUGUCCUUCCAUCUUCUAGCACAACUGUCGCGAAAUGACCUUUUCGACCAAAGAAUGAGGCGAUCAUCUCUUUUCCUUGACUUCUUCCUUUCUUUACCUGAGUUGGCCGAUCCUCAAAAGGAAAAAGUUUUUUUGAACUUGGCUCACCAAUGCCUAGGCUUGCCCGUAUCUACUGAUACGUCACUCUCUUAUCUUCCUCUAUCAUGCGUCGCACAGCACUGAUGUUAUCUUCAGUAGUCGCUGUUAAAGGACGUCCCUCACGCGGAUCAUCAGAGAGAUUGCUACGUCCACGCUUAAACUCGAUAAAUCAAUUGUAAAUAGUGGCACGAGAUCGGGCUUCAAUAAGAAAUCCUAUUUGCAGCCUAUAAUAGCUUUGUUGUUGAGUAAGCCCACAAAAAAGUCAUAAUAAAUCAUUGACCGAAAAUUUUCUUGCGUUAGGUUCAUUUUCACGUGUAACAAGAGUUUUAGACUUGCCGCCAAUUCACAAAAAUAAAUGACAAAUUAAUGCAUUAUACUACAUUAGGUUACCAAAGAGUUCUAAAAUUGAAAUAAAAAAAAAGUUUUCAUAAGCAAUGUUUCUAACUAGCCAGUUCUGGCUAGUUAGAAACACUCUAUUCUAACAUUUUCAGUGUUACCCACGUAUUACAGCUAGCAAAUGUGAAAUGAAACUCACUGCCCAUAUAUAUGAACUGAUCAGAACUGAGCAUCUUGAACAUGCAUUGUCAUCCUUUGAAGUGAGGUUACCCUCUGAAUUUGAAUACAUUUGUUAUUGAAAGCAACAAAUCAAGUAAAACAAAUGAAUAGUACUAAGGACCUAAUAGUGGAAUAGUAAAUGUAGUGUCCAUUUAAAUAAACCACUAUUACGAAUAUUAAGCCUCAGUAUAACAAACAAAUGUCCAUUUUCUAUUAAACAUAAAUCAGACUGUCUAUUUUAAUCACAGAACCUGAAUACUAUACAUUUAAAUAAAGUGUUUAAGUAGUUGUUAAGGUAAAAUCAAAAUUAAGUUAGGAUAAUUAAACUUAUAAUAUUAAGCGACAUGACAACAGAAAAUUCUUGCCACACUAUGUGUAAUAUUUUCAUUCGUAUGGGGUCAUUAAUAGUUAUGAAAGUUGACUUAAUUCGGCCUAGUAAAGUUCCUUCGCAUUAAUAAUAUUAAAUGAAUGUGACGUCAGUUUGAUUAACGCUAGGUGUUGUUUUUAUUUCGGCUUCUUUGAAUGCUAAUUUAAGUAGAUAAAAUGCAACUGACGUUUCUAUGUUAAACUGUUAGGCGAUACGCGUGUGAUAGUUUGCUCGAUGGCUUUAGCCAAUUCGUAAUGAAAUCAUUUAUAGUUCUAUAAUAAUUUGAAGUGUAUUACCAAUGAUAUUAUAGUAUUAAAAGAGGUAGAUAUGUCACUAGCGCGCUGAAAAUCAAUCGCCUAAAUUGACUCAAUUGGUUCCUUUUGUCGUAGUCGCUCUCUCGAUACGAAAACGGUACGGUACACACGCGUUUGUUGUUGACAGAAUUGCUUACAAUUUGAUAUAGCUACAACAUUAAAAUACCGUCUUGUGUUAUGGGAAGAUGCACUAAUUACGAAAGUAAAAAAAAAAAUAAUAGAAUUACAUACCUCAGUUAAGAAAUCAUGAAUUAUAACAUUUUAUUUGAUUUCAUUAUUUAUCUAACAAAAUAAAUAUGUUGCCAUGACAACGCCGAUCGCCGCCAAACCGAUCAUAGAUUAACGUACAGAAAUGACAAAAUAUUGAUGCUGUCUGUUGCGGGAUGAUCGAGGUAGAAUAUUUUAGGAAAUGAUGUAAAAAAGUCAUUGUUCCAGUGAAUGUAAUAAUUUUUAAUAAACAAGUGCAUAGGUAUAUAGGUAGCUGAACUAUCAAACUACUAAAAAAGUUUUAGGGUAGGUAGCGGAUGUAGACAGUGAGUGCUAUUUGUUUACGUAGGAGUUUCUUCAGUAUAUCCCUAGCUAACUGCAGAAGAAUCAAUGGAUCAUUUUCUUCUUCUCCCAUUACCUUAUUGUAAUAAACCCUCAACAAAAAGACUCAUAAAUAAUAUAAGAUACAAAAAAUAAUAAUUGUAAUCUUAAAAAUUUUUUGGGAGCCGUUGUUAGUAAAAUGGGACCCUUACUGUAGAUACCUUUCGGUUUUGUUUUGGUUUCUGUAUGUUUUUUAUUAUUUAUUAUUUAAAUAAUUAAUAUCAUCAAUGUGGCUAUAUAUUAUAAUCAAUAUUAAAUUAUUUUUUUAUAAAAUCAAUGACACAUUAUCUACCUAAUAUCAAUGCAGUUUUACAACUUUAUAGCUUUUACUACAUGAACUCAUGAAUGAAUUGUAAUUUAGGCAUAAAUCACGGUAUACUGUAAAAAAUCAUAUCUGAUGAAUUAACUGUAUUUUCUCUAUACAAAUACGAAGCAAUUAGCAAAUUAGAGUUAUUUCUUUUUCGCUUGCGAUAAUUGCAUUUACUAUCCUUCUUUGACGUUUAAUUGUAAUGUAGUGUGCUAUUGCAAUGUUUAAUUAUUCAUGUGUGCGUUAGGGUAUCAUUUUCAAACACCGAAUGUUGUCUACGUAACCUAUCUAUACUUUUAAAUAUCAUUGUGUAUUACUAUCAAGUACUGUCAAUUGAUAGUUUGUUGGCUUGUAUGAAAUGAACAUUCACGACUCGUGGUCACACCAGUUUGUCACACCAGUGUGACUACGAGUAAUUUUUAUUCCUCGUGGUCACACCAAGGGUUUUACUACACCCUGUUGGUAAUUCAUAUAAGUGAUGUGUCAAUUUCAAUUCUCAUGAUAUCGACAUUCUCGAUAGUUUAGAUAAGGAAUGACUAAAGAUGGAAAUUGUUUUUUCCUCUUCCUCACACCGCAGGUUUAACUACACUACCAUAUGUCGAAAUAGGCAAAGAUGUAUAACUUUUGUAUAUAAGUAUAUAAUUAACGAAGUAUUUUCAUAAAAUGGCCUAAAAAAAUAUUAUUAUUAAUAAGUUUUAUUUGGGUAUUAAUGAACAAAUUAUCUUUCUCAAUUUGUCUCUUUAUCCCUCACAAGGGAUAUUAUGUGGACUAAAUUAAUAAUAAAUAAGUUAAUAAAUUAUUAACUGUCUUAAAAGAGGAUAUGGAAAUUGUCAUUGAAAAAAGCCCAACAAAUUGACACAUCACUUAUAUCAAUUGCCAACAGGGUGUAGUAAAACCCUUGGUGUGACCACGAGGAAUAAAAAUUACUCGUAGUCACACUGGUGUGACAAACUGUUGUGACCAUGAGUCGUGAAUGGAAAUGAACUAAUUGCAUGUGAAUACUACUUCAAUUUAAAAUUCUGAUUGUAAAUCAUUUGCCGAUACUUGUGAUAUUUAUACAUAUACUAUGUACUCUCCUUAAUUUCAUUUGCAUAUUUAGUACUGAGCUUAAAAUAUAUAAUUUGUGCUAUA